rnacentral:tRNA from 1 species
GCCCGGGUGGCUCAAUCGGUUAAGUGUCUGACUUCGGCUCAGGUCGUGAUCUCAGGGUUUGUGAGUUCGAGCCCCACAUCGGGCU